AUCUUCAGGGCGGGGUGCAAUUCCCCACCGGUGGUAUAGCCCACGAGCCGAAAGGCAUGACCCGGUGCGAUUCCGGGGCCGACAGUAUAGUCUGGAUGGAAGAAGAU
rnacentral:ncRNA from 1 species